rnacentral:rRNA from 1 species
UACGUAGGGGGCUAGCGUUGUCCGGAAUCAUUGGGCGUAAAGAGCGUGUAGGCGGCCCGGUAAGUCCGCUGUGAAAGUCGGGGGCUCAACCCUCGAAUGCCGGUGGAUACUGUCGGGCUAGAGUGCGGAAGAGGCGAGUGGAAUUCCUGGUGUAGCGGUGAAAUGCGCAGAUAUCAGGAGGAAGACCAGUGGCGAAGGCGGGUCUCUGGACAGUUCCUGACGCUGAGGCACGAAGGCCAGGGGAGCAAACGGG